GGCGAACAGGGCGGAGGCAGCCGGGGGAAGACGGGGGUGGGAAGGUUGAUCCGGAGUUACUGGGUGUAAAGGGGGCGUGUGUGUGUUGGUAAGUCAGUGGUGAAAUCCCCGAGCUUAACUUGGGAACUGCCAUUGAUACUAUCAGUCUUGAAUAUUGUGGAGGUCAGCGGAAUAUGUCAUGUAGCGGUGAAAUGCUUAGAUAUGACAUAGAACACCAAUUGCGAAGGCAGCUGGCUACGCAUAUAUUGACACUGAGGCACGAAAGCGUGGGGAUCAAACAGGAUUAGAUACCUGGUAGUC
rnacentral:rRNA from 1 species